rnacentral:rRNA from 3 species
GUUCCCAUACCGAACACGGAAGUUAAGCUCUUCAGCGCCGAUGGUAGUUGGGGGUUUCCCCCUGUGAGAGUAGGACGUUGCUAGGC